CCUACGGGUGGCAGCAGUGGGGAAUAUUGGACAAUGGGCGAAAGCCUGAUCCAGCCAUGCCGCGUGUGUGAAGAAGGCCUUCGGGUUGUAAAGCACUUUCAGUGGGGAAGAAAGCCUUGGGGCUAAUACCCUCGAGGAAGGACAUCACCCACAGAAGAAGCACCGGCUAACUCCGUGCCAGCAGCCGCGGUAAUACGGAGGGUGCGAGCGUUAAUCGGAAUUACUGGGCGUAAAGCGCGCGUAGGCGGUCUGAUAAGCCGGUUGUGAAAGCCCCGGGCUCAACCUGGGAACGGCAUCCGGAACUGUCAGGCUAGAGUGCAGGAGAGGAAGGUAGAAUUCCCGGUGUAGCGGUGAAAUGCGUAGAGAUCGGGAGGAAUACCAGUGGCGAAGGCGGCCUUCUGGACUGACACUGACGCUGAGGUGCGAAAGCGUGGGUAGCAAACAGGAUUAGAUACCCCGAGUAGUC
rnacentral:rRNA from 1 species